GCACCCGUAGCUCAGCUGGAUAGAGCGCUGCCCUCCGAAGGCAGAGGUCACUGGUUCGAAUCCAGUCGGGUGCACCA
rnacentral:tRNA from 16 species